UAGCCGGUAAUAAACCGGGAGGAAGGUGGGGGAUGACGUCAAAUCAUCCAUGCCCCUUAUGACCUGGGCUACACACGUGCUACAAUGGUUGGUACAACGAGUUGCGAGUCGGUGACGGCGAGCUAAUCUCUUAAAGCCAAUCUCAGUUCGGAUUGUAGGCUGCAACUCGCCUACAUGAAGUCGGAAUCGCUAGUAAUCGCGGAUCAGCACGCCGCGGUGAAUACGUUCCCGGGCCUU
rnacentral:rRNA from 1 species